AGCGAACGCUGGCGGCAGGCCUAACACAUGCAAGUCGAACGAACCUUUCGGGGUUAGUUGCGGACGGGUGGGUAACACGGGGGAACUUGCCUUUAGGUUCGGAAUCACUCAGGGAAACUUGUCCUAAUACCGCAUGUGCCCUUCCGGGGAAGGAUUACUUGCCUUUAGAUCGGCCCGCGUCUGAUUAGCUAGUUGGUUGAGGUAAUGGCUCACCAAGGCGACGUGCAGGAGCUGUUCGGUGAGGAUGCUCAGCCACGUCGGAACUGAGACACGGACCAAAAUCGUACGGGAGGGAGGAGUGGGGAAUAUUGCGGAAUGGGCGAAAGCGUGACGAAGCCAUGCCGCGUGAAUGAGGAAGGUCUUAGGAUUGUAAAAUUCUUUCUGCGGGGACGAUAAUGACGGUACCCGGAGAAGAAGCCCCGGCUAACUUCGUG
rnacentral:rRNA from 1 species